AUCUGCUACACAAAAAAAUUAUCCAGGUUACAGUAGUCAAUGUCAGUCAGAUUUCGGGGCACUGAUAGAAAGUCUAGGCUGUCUCAUUCAUUCUUUAAACGAUUCAUGAUUUUUGCAUUACAAUGCUUUUUUUUUUUUUUUUGCAGUUGUCAGCAACAUUUUACACAAGUUUGAGUUUUUUUUCAC